GAUGAACGCUAGCGGCAGGCUUAAUACAUGCAAGUCGUGGGGCAGCAGGGUUGUAGCAAUACAAUCGCUGGCGACCGGCAAACGGGUGCGUAACACGUACGCAACCUUCCCGUUACUGUGGAAUAGCCCAGGGAAACUUGGACUAAUACCACAUAUUAUAUUGGUGGGGCCUCCCACUGAUAUCAAAGCUUCGGCGGUAACGGAUGGGCGUGCGGUUGAUUAGGUAGUUGGCGGGUAACGGCCCACCAAGCCUACGAUCAAUAGCUGAUGUGGGAGCAUGAUCAGCCACACGGGCACUGAGACACGGGCCCGACUCCUACGGGAGGCAGCAGUAAGGAAUAUUGGGCAAUGGACGAAAGUCUGACCCAGCCAUGCCGCGUGAAGGAUUAAGGUCCUCUGGAUUGUAAACUUCUUUUCUCUGGGGCGAAAACCAGCUAUUCUUAGCUAUUUGACAGUACCAGAGGAAUAAGCACCGGCUAACUCCGUGCCAGCCGCCGCGGUAAGAC
rnacentral:rRNA from 1 species